GAGGAUGGGCUGCGCAAGCUGCAGGACGCUGGGGCCCAACUCGCCAUCAUGACCCUCAAAGAGCUCCAGUACUGCUUGGACACCUUCGUGGACAACCACGGCCGGCUGUUCGAGCCCUGGCUUAAUCUAGUAGAACACAUACAAACC